GUUACAUAAAAAGGAUUAUAUUUAGUUAUAUAUUUGUUUGUACAAAAAAUGUAAGUAGUUAUCAGGCGUUCAUUGCAGUAAAAUUAAGUACACAAUUAAAUUUAAUAAAAUGAAAAAAAAAAGUAAUUCUCAAUCUGAUCAAGAAAUAGUUUUGUAUAUUUGUAUCCUUUGUAUAUAAUUUUGUACAUUAUUUGUAUCGUGAUUCUUUUUGUAUAUAUUUUGUAUCCCGUUUCACUUCUCUUGUUGAUUCACGUUGUUCCAA